GCUGGUUCUCUGCGAAAUCUAUUUAGGUAGAGCGUCAUCCGAAUACCCCGGGGGGUAGAGCACUGGAUGGGUAAUGGGGCCCCACAGGCUUACUGAUCCUAACCAAACUCCGAAUACCCGGGAGUACUAGAUGGCAGACACACUGCGGAUGCUAACGUCCGUAGUGGAGAGGGAAACAACCCUGACCUCCGGCUAAGGCCCCCAAUUCAUGGCUAAGUGGGAAAGCAGGUGGGACGACCAAAACAACCAGGAGGUUGGCUUAGAAGCAGCCAUCCUUUAAAGA
rnacentral:rRNA from 15 species